rnacentral:rRNA from 1 species
UCCUACGGGGGGCAGCAGUGAGGAAUAUUGGUCAAUGGGCGGGGGCCUGAACCAGCCAAGUCGCGUGAGGGAAGACGGUCCUAUGGAUUGUAAACCUCUUUAGGCGGGGAGCAAUGCCGAGCACGCGUGCCCGGAGGGAGAGUACCCGCAGAAUAAGCAUCGGCUAACUCCGUGCCAGCAGCCGCGGUAAUACGGAGGAUGCGAGCGUUAUCCGGAUUUAUUGGGUUUAAAGGGUGCGUAGGCGGAUUUUUAAGUCAGCGGUAAAAUGUCCGGGCUCAACCCGGGCCGGCCGUUGAAACUGGGGG